rnacentral:rRNA from 1 species
UACGAGUGCCUCAAGCGUUAUCCGGAAUCAUUGGGCGUAAAGGGUGCGUAGGCGGCCAUGUUAGUCUCUUGUUAAACCUUCCGGCUUAACCGGAAAUCUGCAGGAGAUACGGCAUGGCUCGAGGAUGGAAGAGGUUUGCGGAACUCAUGGUGUAGGGGUGAAAUCCGUUGAUAUCAUGGGGAACACCGAAUGCGAAGGCAGCAAACUGGUCCACUCCUGACGCUGAAGCACGAAAAGCGUGGGUCGCGAAUGGG